rnacentral:rRNA from 1 species
GACGAACGCUGGCGGCGUGCCUAAUACAUGCAAGUAGAACGCUGAAGGAGGAGCUUGCUUCUCUGGAUGAGUUGCGAACGGGUGAGUAACGCGUAGGUAACCUGCCUGGUAGCGGGGGAUAACUAUUGGAAACGAUAGCUAAUACCGCAUGACAACAGUUAUUGCAUGAUAACUGUUUAAAAGGGGCAACUGCUCCACUACCAGAUGGACCUGCGUUGUAUUAGCUAGUUGGUGAGGUAACGGCUCACCAAGGCGACGAUACAUAGCCGACCUGAGAGGGUGAUCGGCCACACUGGGACUGAGACACGGCCCAGACUCCUACGGGAGGCAGCAGUAGGGAAUCUUCGGCAAUGGACGGAAGUCUGACCGAGCAACGCCGCGUGAGUGAAGAAGGUUUUCGGAUCGUAAAGCUCUGUUGUAAGAGAAGAACGAGUGUGAGAGUGGAAAGUUCACACUGUGACG